UACGGAGGGAGCGAGCGUUGUCCGAAUUUACUGGGCGUAAAGCGCGCGUAGGCGGGAAAUUAAGUGAGAAGUGAAAGGCUGGGGCUCAACCCCAUGCAGUGCUCCUCAUACUGGUUUUCUUGAGGGUGGUAGAGAGAAGUGGAAUGGCUGGUGUAGCGGUGAAAUGCGUAGAUAUCAGUCGGAACACCAGUGGCGAAGGCGGCUUCUUGGGCCAUUACUGACGCUGAGGCGCGAAAGCCAGGGGAGCGAACGGG
rnacentral:rRNA from 1 species